GAUGAACGCUAGCGGCAGGCCUAAUACAUGCAAGUCGAACGGUGUAGCAAUACACAGUGGCGCACGGGUGCGUAACACGUAUGCAACCUACCUUACAUUGGGGGAUAGCCUUUCGAAAGGGAGAUUAAUACCGCAUAAGACAGUAAAUAGGCAUCUAGUAACUGUUAAAGCUUUAUCGAUGUAAGCUGGGCAUGCGUCCAAUUAGUUAGUUGGCGAGGUAAUGGGUCACCAAGAGGAUGAUUGGUAGGGGAACUGAGAGGUCAAUCCCCCACACUGGCACGGAGAUACGGGCCAGACUCCUACGGGAGGCAGCAGUAGGGAAUAUUGGGCAAUGGGCGCAAGCCUGACCCAGCCAUGCCGCGUGCAGGAAGAAGGCGUUAUGCGUUGUAAACUGCUUUUAUACAGGAAGAAACGACCCUUGCGAGGGGCAUUGACGGUACUGUAUGAAUAAGCACCGGCUAACUCCGUGCCAGCAGCCGCGGUAAAAC
rnacentral:rRNA from 1 species